rnacentral:rRNA from 1 species
CCCUUAGAUGUUCUGGGCUGCACGCGCGCUACACUGACACACUCAGCGAGUCUCCUGACCCGAGAGGGUUGGGUAAUCAUGUGAGCGUGUGUCGUGAUGGGGAUAGAAUAUUGUAAUUAUUGCUCUUCAACGAGGAAUUCCUAGUAAGCGCGAGUCAGCAGCUCGCGCUGAUUACGUCCCUGCCCUUUGUACACACCGCCCGUCGCUCCUACCGAUGGGGUGAUCCGGUGAAUGAUUCGGACUUCCGCGUUGCUAGCUACUAGUUUCGCGGAAGAAAGUCUUGUGAACCUUAUCACUUGGAGGAAGGAGAANUCGUAACA